UGCUUUAGCGCUGACCGGAACCUACUUUCUGGUGACAUUCGCCCCUCAUUCAUCGCCUCACGUCACGGCCAACAUGGUGGAGCGCUCGCUGGUCAGCUGGACCUUCCUGAUUUACUUUAUGUUUGAACUGAUUCUCUUCGCUAUCCUGAUGUAUUUGUACAAGUGCAGGAACAUAAAACACAUUGUGAUCAUGAUGAUCUUGGUGGCGUUACUCGCUUCGGUGACGGUGAUCUCGGUGAAAGCGGUUUC